AGAGUUUGAUCCUGGCUCAGGAUGAACGCUAGCGGCAGGCUUAACACAUGCAAGUCGAGGGGUAACAGGAGAGCUUGCUCUCGCUGACGACCGGCGCACGGGUGAGUAACGCGUAUGCAACCUACCCAUAACUGGGGCAGGGGCAUAGCUUCCGGAAACGGAAAUUAAUACCCCAUAGUAUUAUAAUAUCGCAUGAUAUAAUAAUUAAAGUUCCGACGGUUAUGGAUGGGCAUGCGUGCCAUUAGUUAGUUGGUGAGGUAAAAGCUCACCAAGACGAUGAUGGCUAGGGGGUCUUAAAGGAUGGUCCCCCACACUGGUACUGAGACACGGACCAGACUCCUACGGGAGGCAGCAGUGAGGAAUAUUGGUCAAUGGGCGCAAGCCUGAACCAGCCAUGCCGCGUGCAGGAAGACGGCCCUAUGGGUUGUAAACUGCUUUUAUAUGGGAAGAAAAUGUUCUACGUGUAGAGCACUGACGGUACCAUAAGAAUAAGCAUCGGCUAACUCCGUGCCAGCAGCCGCGGUAAUACGGAGGAUGCAAGCGUUAUCCGGAUUUAUUAGGUUUAAAGGGUGUGUAGGCGGAACUUUAAGUCAGUGGUGAAAUCUCACAGCUCAACUGUGAAACUGCCAUUGAUACUGAUAGUCUUGAGUGCGGUUGAGGUAAGCGGAAUGUGUAGUGUAGCGGUGAAAUGCUUAGAGAUUACACAGAACACCAAUUGCGUAGGCAGCUUACUAAGCCGUAACUGACGCUGAUGCACGAAAGCGUGGGUAGCGAACAGGAUUAGAUACCCUGGUAGUCCACGCCGUAAACGAUGAUAACUAGCUGUUUGCGAUACACAGUAAGCGGCAAAGCGAAAGCAUUAAGUUAUCCACCUGGGGAGUACGGUCGCAAGAUUGAAACUCAAAGGAAUUGACGGGGGCCCGCACAAGCGGAGGAACAUGUGGUUUAAUUCGAUGAUACGCGAGGAACCUUACCUGGGCUUAAAUGUAUUUUGUAUGAUUUGGAAACAGAUCUUUCCUUCGGGACUAUUACAAGGUGCUGCAUGGUUGUCGUCAGCUCGUGCCGUGAGGUGUCGGGUUAAGUCCCAUAACGAGCGCAACCCCUAUCGUUAGUUGCUAGCAGGUCAAGCUGAGGACUCUAACGAGACUGCCGGUGUAAACCGAGAGGAAGGUGGGGAUGACGUCAAAUCAGCACGGCCCUUACGUCCAGGGCUACACACGUGUUACAAUGGCCGAUACAAUGGGCAGCUACCUGGUGACAGGAUGCUAAUCUCCAAAGUCGGUCUCAGUUCGGAUCGAAGUCUGCAACUCGACUCCGUGAAGGUGGAUUCGCUAGUAAUCGCGUAUCAGCAAUGACGCGGUGAAUACGUUCCCGGGCCUUGUACACACCGCCCGUCAAACCAUGGAAGCUGGGGGUACCUGAAGUACGUGACCGCAAGGAGCGUCCUAGGGUAAAACUGGUAACUGGGGUUAAGUCGGAACAAGGUA
rnacentral:rRNA from 1 species